rnacentral:rRNA from 1 species
AUGAACGCUGGCGGCGUGCCUAAUACAUGCAAGUCGAGCGAACAGACGAGGAGCUUGCUCCUCUGACGUUAGCGGCGGACGGGUGAGUAACACGUGGAUAACCUACCUAUAAGACUGGGAUAACUUCGGGAAACCGGAGCUAAUACCGGAUAAUAUAUUGAACCGCAUGGUUCAAUAGUGAAAGACGGUUUUGCUGUCACUUAUAGAUGGAUCCGCGCCGCAUUAGCUAGUUGGUAAGGUAACGGCUUACCAAGGCAACGAUGCGUAGCCGACCUGAGAGGGUGAUCGGCCACACUGGAACUGAGACACGGUCCAGACUCCUACGGGAGGCAGCAGUAGGGAAUCUUCCGCAAUGGGCGAAAGCUUGACGGAGCAACGCCGCGUGAGUGAUGAAGGUCUUCGGAUCGUAAAACUCUGUUAUUAGGGAAGAACAAAUGUGUAAGUAACUAUGCACGUCUUGACGGGACCUAAUCAGAAAGCCACGGCUAACUACGU